AAGAAUCGUCCCUGCAAGGUUUUAUUUAUUUCUUUUUUGGAUUUUGCAUCUGCUAAUGUUUUAUUUUCACCGGAUCUCUAAUGGGUUAAUUCUCUGUUUUCUAUAGUUUAAUGCAAGAAAUUAUUGUAAGGUUUGUGUAUUUUGUUGUGGGACUUUGUGUACAUGAAAUUCUAUGCUUUGUGGUUAAUUUUUGCUGGUAGUUUCUAGAGGCAACAGGAAGGUAACACCUUGGAUCUCCUAUUUGUAAUUUUGUAUCAGGAAAUCAGAUUCUGAUAUAAGCAGCUCAAAAAUCCUGUAAAAGUUUUGAGGUUCACAUGGUGCAUGUGUGUGAUGCCUUUCAUCUGUUUCUUGGAUUUACAUUAGAGAACUGACCAAUGAAAUAGAUAAUCAUGAUUGAUGUACUUUUGGCAAAUAUGUGAGCUAGCUGGCAUUAUAUUACCCUUCUGGAUGUUGAUUUUGGCCUCUUUCACCAACAUGUCUCAUGUUGAAUGAAGGUGUGAAAUGCAUCCCUUUGGAAACUUGCAUAAAAAGGAUACUAUCUCAUUUAUGUGUCAUUUUGCAUCUAAUUCUGAUUUAUACAUACUGCAAUUUUGCCUCUUAUAAAGAAUUGAUAUGAUUGGAUUAAUGAUAAAGUUUGUUCAUUUGAAAAAUUUUACAGCCAAUUCUCUACUUUAGGGAAGCAUGUAGAGAUUUAUCAUGGUGGCAGGUUGGUUCACGCAAUGGCACAGUAGUCAUGAGGUGCCAUUUGUUAUGCAAGCUAAAUAUGGGCUUCCAUUGCCAGUUUUCUCUGAGUUGGGAAGCUAUUGCUCUAGUAUUAAAUAGCUUCUACACUGCCCUUCAUUUUACUGCUGUCUUGUAGUCUAACAUUCUAAAUCAAUCUUACUUAUAGGUCGAGGCCAAAAAGUGCUAGUUUGUGUAGAAGAAAUAAUGGAAUAUGUGACAGCUUAUAGAAAUCUCUUUACCGUAGUAGUGUCAAUUUUAAAUACUUUAUAAUUUGUAACCUUAUGGUAUUGAUGCCUUUUAAUCCCCUUGAAAACAGGUUGUGGAGGUUUCAACAUCAA
rnacentral:misc_RNA from 1 species